rnacentral:rRNA from 1 species
AAUGAACGUUGGCGGCGUGGAUUAGGCAUGCAAGUCGUGCGAUAACCCCGCAAGGGGGGAAAGCGGCGAAAGGGAGAGUAACGCAUGGGUACCUGCCCCUUGGUCCGGAAUAGCUGCGGGAAACUGCGGGUAAUGCCGGAUAAUAUCCUCGGAUCAAAGGUGUGAUUCCGCCGAGGGAGGGGCCCGCGUUCUAUUAGCUAGUUGGUAGGGUAAUGGCCUACCAAGGCGACGAUGGAUACCGGGUGUGAGAGCAUGACCCGGCUCACUGGGACUGAGACACUGCCCAGACACCUACGGGUGGCUGCAGUCGAGAAUCUUCGGCAAUGGGCGCAAGCCUGACCGAGCGACGCCGCGUGCAGGAUGAAGGCCUUCGGGUUGUAAACUGCUUUUGUACGGAACGAAAAGCCCUGGGUUAAUACCCUGGGGUCAUGACGGUACCGUAAGAAUAAGCACCGGCUAACUACGUGCCAGCCGCCGCCGUAA